rnacentral:rRNA from 1 species
ACAAGCGGUGGAGCAUGUGGUUUAAUUCGAUGCAACGCGAAGAACCUUACCUGCCCUUGACAUCCUCGGAACGGCCUGGAAACGGGCUGGUGCCUUCGGGAACCGAGAGACAGGUGCUGCAUGGCUGUCGUCAGCUCGUGUUGUGAAAUGUUGGGUUAAGUCCCGCAACGAGCGCAACCCUUAUCCUUGUUUGCCAGCGAGUAAUGUCGGGAACUCCAGGGAGACUGCCGGUGAUAAGCCGGAGGAAGGUGGGGACGACGUCAAGUCAUCAUGGCCCUUACGUGUGGGGCUACAAACGUGCUACAAUGGCUACUACAAUGGGUUGCGAGGUCGCGAGGCCAAGCUAAUCUCUAAAAGUAGUCUCAGUUCGGAUUGUUCUCUGCAACUCGAGAGCAUGAAGUCGGAAUCGCUAGUAAUCGUGGAUCAGCAUGCCACGGUGAAUACGUUCCCGGGUCUUGUACACACCGCCCGUCACAUCAUGGGAGUUGGUUCUGCCCGAAGAUGGUGCGCUAACCUUUUAGGAGGCAGCCAGCCACGGUAGGAUCAGCGACUGGGAUGAAGUCGUAACAAGGUAGCCGUAGGGGAACCUGCGGCUGGAUCACCUCCUUU